rnacentral:sRNA from 1 species
UCGACAGUAGGCCUGUUCGGAGAGAAG